AUAUAUAUAUCAAACCCUCUUUGUUGAGUGGCUUGGAUGUGGAGGUUUUUUGCUGGCCUCUUAAAAGGUCCAGCUCCUCUGAAAUGCAUUAGCAGAACAGCCUGUUCAUUGGUGUGAUAACUAUCUACGCUAUUGAAUGUAAGGGGCAGUUCAGCUUUCUAACAGUCCUUGGACAAUUCAUCAUUA
rnacentral:misc_RNA from 1 species